AGAACGAACGCUGGCGGCAUGCCUAACACAUGCAAGUCGAACGAGACCUUCGGGUCUAGUGGCGCACGGGUGCGUAACGCGUGGGAAUCUGCCCUUAGGUACGGAAUAACAGUGAGAAAUUACUGCUAAUACCGUAUGACGUCUUCGGACCAAAGAUUUAUCGCCUAGGGAUGAGCCCGCGUUGGAUUAGCUAGUUGGUUGGGUAAAGGCCUACCAAGGCGACGAUCCAUAGCUGGUCUGAGAGGAUGAUCAGCCACACUGGGACUGAGACACGGCCCAGACUCCUACGGGAGGCAGCAGUGGGGAAUAUUGGACAAUGGGCGAAAGCCUGAUCCAGCAAUGCCGCGUGAGUGAAGAAGGCCUUAGGGUUGUAAAGCUCUUUUACCCGGGAAGAUAAUGACUGUACCGGGAGAAUAAGCCCGGCUAACUCCGCGCCAGCAGCCGC
rnacentral:rRNA from 1 species